rnacentral:lncRNA from 1 species
AGUGAGCGUGUAAAGCUUACUUAGUUGUAGUCUUCUCCUUCUUCUAUUAGUUCCACCUCCUACCAUUAUCUUGCAGCAGCAGCUACUUGAGAAAGCCAAAGUUGGAAUCUUUUACUGAAAUCAGAUAUUCAAGAAACCCUGAAAUUAUAAUAAAGAAAACAAAAAAAGAACAAAUCUUUUAGAGUUUUGAGACACGCAAAACGAGUCAGUUCAAGUGAUGAGAGAUUCGAACAUUAUUUUGCAACACCCGCGAGAACAGUUUAAAAACGAAGAAACCAAGAAACAUAAUUUUCAGGUUUUUGUUUUUUUAUAAAGUGGCAAAAAAAAGUAAAAGAAAGAAAGAAAAAAAUAAAAAAGACAAUACCGUGAAACCAACCGAACAGAGGAAAAAAAGCAGAGAAGACCGUGACUGGAUUGGUUGUAUAAUCCGACCUCGUUUUCUGCAAUUUCUUUAUAAUUUUCUCGGGAAAAUGAGGAAUU